GACGAACGCUGGCGGCGUGCUUAACACAUGCAAGUCGAACGGAAAGGCCCUGCUUUUGUGGGGUGCUCGAGUGGCGAACGGGUGAGUAACACGUGAGUAACCUGCCCUUGACUUUGGGAUAACUUCAGGAAACUGGGGCUAAUACCGGAUAGGAGCUCCUGCUGCAUGGUGGGGGUUGGAAAGUUUCGGCGGUUGGGGAUGGACUCGCGGCUUAUCAGCUUGUUGGUGGGGUAGUGGCUUACCAAGGCUUUGACGGGUAGCCGGCCUGAGAGGGUGACCGGCCACAUGGGGACUGAGAUACGGCCCAGACUCCUUCGGGAGGCAGCAGUGGGGAAUAUUGCACAAAGGGCGGAAGCCUGAUGCAGCAACGCCGCGUGCGUGAUGACGGCCUUCGAGUUGUAAACCGCUUUCGCCUGUGACGAAGCGUGAGUGACGGUAAUGGGUAAAGAAGCACCGGCUAACUACGUG
rnacentral:rRNA from 1 species